rnacentral:rRNA from 1 species
UGGGGGAUAUUGCACAAUGGGGGGAACCCUGAUGCAGCAACGCCGCGUGAGUGAAGAAGGUUUUCGGAUUGUAAAGCUCUGUCCUCGGAGAAGAAAAGAAUGACGGUAACCGAGGAGGAAGCUCCGGCUAACUACGUGCCAGCAGCCGCGGUAAUACGUAGGGAGCGAGCGUUGUCCGGAAUUACUGGGUGUAAAGGGUGCGUAGGCGGCCAGACAAGUCAGGCGUGAAAUGCGGAGGCUUAACCUCCGAGCUGCGUUUGAAACUGUAUGGCUUGAGUGGAGAAGAGGCAGAUGGAAUUUCCGGUGUAGCGGUGAAAUGCGUAGAUAUCGGAAGGAACACCAGUGGCGAAGGCGAUCUGCUGGUCUCUAACUGACGCUGAGGCACGAAAGCGUGGGUAGCAAACAGG